rnacentral:rRNA from 1 species
AACGAACGCUGGCGGCAUGCCUAACACAUGCAAGUCGAACGAGACCUUCGGGUCUAGUGGCGCACGGGUGCGUAACGCGUGGGAAUCUGCCCUCUGGUACGGGAAUAACUCAGGGAAACCUGAGCUAAUACCGUAUAAUGACUUCGGUCCAAAGAUUUAUCGCCUGAGGAUGAGCCCGCGUAGGAUUAGCUUGUUGGUGAGGUAAAAGCUCACCAAGGCGACGAUCCUUAGCUGGUCUGAGAGGAUGAUCAGCCACACUGGGACUGAGACACGGCCCAGACUCCUACGGGAGGCAGCAGUGGGGAAUAUUGGACAAUGGGCGAAAGCCUGAUCCAGCAAUGCCGCGUGAGUGAUGAAGGCCUUAGGGUUGUAAAGCUCUUUUACCCGGGAUGAUAAUGACAGUACCGGGAGAAUAAGCCCCGGCUAACUCCGUGCCAGCCGCCGCAGUAAU